rnacentral:rRNA from 1 species
AUUGAACGCUGGCGGCAGGCCUAACACAUGCAAGUCGAACGAGUGGCGGACGGGUGAGUAAUGUCUGGGAAACUGCCUGAUGGAGGGGGAUAACUACUGGAAACGGUAGCUAAUACCGCAUACCAUCAGAUGUGCCCAGAUGGGAUUAGCUAGUUGGGGGGGUAAGGGCUCACCAAGGCGACGAUCCCUAGCGGGUCUGAGAGGAUAACCAGCCAAACUGGAAUUGAGACACGGUCCAGAUGCCUACGGGAGGCAGCAUGGGGGAAGAUUGCACAAGGGGCGCAAGCCUGAUGCAGCCAUGCGGCGUGUAUGAAGAAGGCCUUCGGGUUGUAAAGUACUUUCAGCGGGGAGGCGUUACCCGCAGAAGAAGCACCGGCUAACUCCGUGCCAGCAGCCGCGGUAAUAC